rnacentral:rRNA from 1 species
UACGAAGGGGGCUAGCGUUGUUCGGAAUCACUGGGCGUAAAGGGCGCGUAGGCGGCCUGAUAAGUCGGGGGUGAAAGCCUGUGGCUCAACCACAGAAUUGCCUUCGAUACUGUUAGGCUUGAGACCGGAAGAGGUAAGUGGAACUGCGAGUGUAGAGGUGAAAUUCGUAGAUAUUCGGAAGAACACCAGUGGCGAAGGCGGCUGACUGGACAUGUAUUGACGCUGAGGUGGCGAAAAGCGUGGGGAGCAAACAGG